GGCAAAUGAUUCAAGGCGAGGCAAGAGGUGCUUCAGAUGCUGUCUUUUGCAGUCCUCCGAGAGGUUAGGGAUGUGGGAGGUCCCUGGGGGCCAUCUCUUACAAGACACAGUUUCCACUAAAUUGGAUCGUAUUUGUACAUCUCUACACCUGUGCGUGAUAGUAAACUUUUGCACCCAAAUACCCCGACCCCUGAAGGAGAGUGUGAGUUAAAAGGAUCUGAAGAACGGACCCUUUGUUUAAGCCUUCUCCGCUGGUGGUAUACUUACGAGGACCAGAGGUGAGGUGUCAGCAAGGAGGCCCACAGGUGGAAAGUGCUUUGGGCCAAUGGUACACACCUGCUUUAUUGGAUAGACGCAGAGAAGUAUGCCUGGUCACAGCCAGAGCUUACUCGGUCAAGAAAUUAUGAGCUCCCCAGAAGUCUCUUGUAUGCUGUCUCCUAGUUGUGAGCACCUUUUACCAAAGAUGGUCUGAGAGUACCUGUGCUGAAAUGGAAUUGUCUUUGAGUGGACACUUCUUAGAUGAGACCUAUUGUGGCCAAUAGCUCCUGAGGAACUGAAGCCUUCAGUUCAAAACUUGUGUGAGAAAAAUGAAUCUUGCCAACUACUGGAGUGAGCUUAGAAAUGAAUCCAUCCCCAGUUGACCCUUGAAUGUAGCCUUGUCAGAGACCCAGAGACAAAGCAUCCUGCUAAUCUGCACUGGGUUCUAGGCCCACAGAAACCAUGGGAUAAUAACUUUGUGUUGCUAUAAGCCACUGAAAACAAACAAAUAAAAUACUUAAGAUGUUCCCCUGUGGAAGGGUUCCAUUGCCAGGGAUCUGCACUUCACAACCAAAGGGAUUAAAGAGAAUUGCCUUCUUCAGAUUUCAGACUGUGGCCUGCUUCUGGUUUUUCUUUCUAUAUUCAUAUAUAUGUUUGUUUAAAUCAUCCUACUUUUGGAGCAGGAAAAGUUACUAUUACAGUUUAUACAAAGGGAAGAAAUCUGGUACAUGCUAAAGUUAUUCAUCUGUAACUACCUGACGAGCCCAAUUAGUUGCUUGCUCCUAUGGAUUCUGAGCCUAAAAUCCCUUCAACAGAUCUUUGACCUUUUCUAAGUUAAGUUUUUGGAAGUAUCCUAUUUGUUCACUUACUUGGGCCAGAGACUAUAGAGAUUAAGAGAAAGUUUGAUAUUUGACCCUAAUUUUAGGCUAAAACAAUUUAGAUGGAAAGAACAGACACAAUUCAAUUUAACCAUCUUCAACUGCUGUGCUUUAGAAAGCUGGGAGUGUGGAGAAUGGAGUAGGUGUACAGAAAAAUAAGAACAGUUCUGUUCUUCAGGGCUUGAUAAAGGCUGCUGUGAGUUGGAUGGACAAUAAUUACUACUGACUAGGUCUAGCUGGGAUAGUUAGGGGAGACUUUCUGAAAGAGGCAACACAUGAGCUGGGUUCUAAAUCUCAAAUAGGAUUUGAUGGCUGAAGAUGAGGGUAAUAAAACAAGAGAAACAAGUACAUUCCAGAUAGAAAGAAUAGUAUAAGCCAAGAAAAACCUAUUCCAGGGCAGCAGGGAAGAGUCUGAAGUGGCAAAACAAAGUAGGAGGCAAAGCUGUCAAUAUAAGUAACUUGGUAGAGAAACAUUAGGAGUUUGGAUUUUAUCCCAUUGACUAGGAGGAUUUAAAAACAGAAAAUGCUCACAGGGGCCAGGCAAGUUAUGAGUAAAUAAAAGGUCCAGGUGUAAGUGCAACAGGGCCCAUGGACAUAGGAAUGGGGGAUGUGAAAAACCAACCUUUGCUAACAGUGAGUUCUACUAUGCAGUUUUAGCUGAUUAUAGCCAGACUCGAAAGCAACCUUUGUAGGGUUGACAGUUCUUGUGAUUGUUCAAGAAAAAAAUUUAUGUAAAAUCUACUGACUUGAAAAUACUAGAUUAAUUUAUUUAAUGUUAUAGAGCUCAAAUAAAACACAUUUGUCUUAUUUAUAGCCCAAGAGCUUUUGGUGGUGAUGGUGGGUAACAAUUUUGGUAGGAGAGAAGGCUAUGAGUUGAAUGGUGUCUUAGGAAUAUUUGGCAUUUGUGAUAGAUUGGACAAGGUAGAGAUGUAAAAGAAAAAAUGUCUCAGGCCGGGUAUGCUGGCUCACACCUGUCUGAGUACUUUUUGUGGCUGAGGUGGGAUUGUUUGAACCCAGGAGUUCAAGGCUAGCCUGGGCAAUAUGGUGAGACCUUGUCUCUA
rnacentral:lncRNA from 1 species